AGCAGCGCCGCGGUAAUACGUAGGGUGCAAGCGUUAAUCGGAAUUACUGGGCGUAAAGCGUGCGCAGGCGGUUAUAUAAGACAGAUGUGAAAUCCCCGGGCUCAACCUGGGAACUGCAUUUGUGACUGUAUAGCUAGAGUACGGCAGAGGGGGAUGGAAUUCCGCGUGUAGCAGUGAAAUGCGUAGAUAUGCGGAGGAACACCGAUGGCGAAGGCAAUCCCCUGGGCCUGUACUGACGCUCAUGCACGAAAGCGUGGGGAGCAAACAGGAUUAGAGACCCCUGUAGUCCCUGUCUCUUAUACA
rnacentral:rRNA from 1 species